AGUGAACGCUGGCGGUAGGCCUAACACAUGCAAGUCGAACGGCAGCACAGUAAGAGCUUGCUCUUACGGGUGGCGAGUGGCGGACGGGUGAGGAAUACAUCGGAAUCUACUUUUUCGUGGGGGAUAACGUAGGGAAACUUACGCUAAUACCGCAUACGACCUACGGGUGAAAGCAGGGGAUCUUCGGACCUUGCGCGAUUGAAUGAGCCGAUGUCGGAUUAGCUAGUUGGCGGGGUAAAGGCCCACCAAGGCGACGAUCCGUAGCUGGACUGAGAGGAUGAUCAGCCACACUGGAACUGAGACCAGGUCCAGACUCCUACGGGAGGCAGCAGUGGGGAAUAUUGGACAAUGGGCGCAAGCCUGAUCCAGCCAUACCGCGUGGGUGAAGAAGGCCUUCGGGUUGUAAAGCCCUUUUGUUGGGAAAGAAAAGCAGCAGGUUAAUACCCCGCUGUUCUGACGGUACCCAAAGAAUAAGCACCGGCUAACUUCGUG
rnacentral:rRNA from 1 species